CAGUAGCCGCGGGAAUACGAAGGGUGCAAGCGUUAAUCGGAAUUACUGGGCGUAAAGCGUGCGUAGGCGGUUUGUUAAGUCUGUUGUGAAAUCCCCGGGCUCAACCUGGGAAUGGCAAUGGAUACUGGCAAGCUAGAGUGUGAUAGAGGAUAGUGGAAUUUCCGGUGUAGCAGUGAAAUGCGUAGAGAUCGGAAGGAACAUCUGUGGCGAAGGCGACUAUCUGGGCCAACACUGACACUGAGGCACGAAAGCGUGGGGAGCAAACAGGAUUAGAUACCCGGGUAGUCCCUGUCUCUUAUAC
rnacentral:rRNA from 1 species